AUUGAACGCUGGCGGCAGGCCUAACACAUGCAAGUCGAGCGGCAGCACAGAAGAGCUUGCUCUUUGGGUGGCGAGUGGCGGACGGGUGAGUAAUGUCUGGGAAACUGCCCGAUGGAGGGGGAUAACUACUGGAAACGGUAGCUAAUUCCGCAUAACGUCGCAAGACCAAAGUGGGGGACCUUCGGGCCUCACACCAUCGGAUGUGCCCAGAUGGGAUUAGCUAGUAGGUGGGGUAAUGGCUCACCUAGGCGACGAUCCCUAGCUGGUCUGAGAGGAUGACCAGCCACACUGGAACUGAGACACGGACCAGACUCCGACGGGAGGCAGGAGUGGGGAAUAUUGCACAAUGGGCGCAAGCCUGAUGCAGCCAUGCCGCGUGUAUGAAGAAGGCCUUCGGGUUGUAAAGUACUUUCAGCGGGGAGGAAGGCGGUGAGGUUAAUAACCUCGCCGAUUGACGUUACCCGCAGAAGAAGCACCGGCUAACUCCGUGCCAGCCGCCGCCGUAA
rnacentral:rRNA from 1 species